GACGAACGCUGGCGGCGUGCCUAAUACAUGCAAGUCGAACGCUUCUUUCCUCCCGAGUGCUUGCACUCAAUUGGAAAGCGGAGUGGCGGACGGGUGAGUAACACGUGGGUAACCUACCCAUCAGAGGGGGAUAACACUUGGAAACAGGUGCUAAUACCGCAUAACAGUUUAUGCCGCAUGGCAUCAGAGUGAAAGGCGCUUUCGGGUGUCGCUGAUGGAUGGACCCGCGGUGCAUUAGCUAGUUGGUGAGGUAACGGCUCACCAAGGCCACGAUGCAUAGCCGACCUGAGAGGGUGAUCGGCCACACUGGGACUGAGACACGGCCCAGACUCCUACGGGAGGCAGCAGUAGGGAAUCUUCGGCAAUGGACGAAAGUCUGACCGAGCAACGCCGCGUGAGUGAAGAAGGUUUUCGGAUCGUAAAACUCUGUUGUUAGAGAAGAACAAGGACGUUAGUAACUGAACGUCCCCUGACGGUAUCUAACCAGAAAGACACGGCUAACUACGUG
rnacentral:rRNA from 1 species